UACAACAGUGAUUGCCACAUUUCCAGAUGGAUAGCUGCUGUCAGAUGAGGUGUUCAUAACCCCUUUCUUUGUCUGGUUGGUCUAUCAUUACAUACUAAAUAUUUCAGAUUGUUACUUGGGAGUAUAAAAAUUUAUGUAUUACUCAGAUCACUGUGUUAAAGGCAGAAUGAUGGUGUGCUGCCAGUACUUUUCCCCUAUAUUGAAGGGUUCUGUAUACACUGACAAGAGUGGUUAGAGAUACAGAAAAUACAUUUGUUGUUUUACAACCAAUAACCCAGGCAGAACCGCUUAGCAAGUUUAUUUUAAAGACACGUUCUUGGACAAUGUUUAUGAUUGAAAGUAUGAGCCUAGCAAAGUGAAGUGAUGAAAGUACUCAACUUGGAUGACAGCAGAGAGAACAGGGGCAGGUAUUAUCCUCCCAGAGAAAAAAACCAAAUAAAUGGAGGUGGGGAAAGGCCCUUGCCCGGAAACCUGACUUGAAGGUAUCCAAACAGCAGGUAUUUUGUGUCUCACUGGGGUUUCCUUCCAGCAAGACUUGGUGAAGUGAGUGCAUGUGUUUAUGGCACUUUGUCAUUUGCCACUGCCUUGACCGACCGCCAGCUACCCUGGGACAAAGGCAGCCUGGAGGGCAGAGCAGAGAAGGAGUCUGGGGCCUGGUUGCUUUGGUGACAGAGCUCAGGUAUGCUUUGAUACACCCCUGGGUCAGAAGGAAGUCAGCCACAGUAAGGAAAGAUAAUGUGGGUGGCUUAAAAUGUUACAGCUUAAGUAAUGGCAAAGGUGGCCUGAAAGCUGUGGAGUCCCUUGGUGAAAUGGCCACGGUUUUAUUUUUCAAACAGUACUCCUGGUUAUACUGGUGAUUUCAGUUUGUCCAUGCACCUUUUAAGUACUCCUGCUUGCAUGACAGGGAAGUCAGCCUGUGGGAAACCUGCUGGUUUGUCCCCAGGGGAAGGAUGGAGCUUUGGGAGCAUGCUCAGCCAGCAGUGCCAGAACUUGGGCGUGGGGCUUGAACACUGGGCUAGCACGUUCCUUAAGUUCCUUAAGAUGAGUAUUAAAGACACAGGUGCCCAGCCUUCGCUGAAGACUGGCUGAUCUGAAAAACUUCAGACCAAGAGCUCUAUAAGCUGUUUCAUACUGCUUUUUUUCAGACUGUUAAAGCGAGUGUGAGUGGUGGACCAGGUUAUUUGGUGAUAAAGCAGACUAGGACACACUUAAAAUUAGUUACAACUCUGAACUAAAGCAGGCAAAUGGACCCCGUGAAGGACGCAAUAACUGCGCUGUGCCAUCUGGAAGCAGGGAUCUGCCAGCGGCUUUGGUCUGUACGCUGUACGUAAUUGGAGGUACUCGCACCAUCAGACAGCAAAAGAAAACUUCAAGGAAAUGAAUGGUUUAGUUCACUGCCAGGUAUACUGAUUUACUUUUCUUUAAGCCUGUGCUAUAGGCUUAGAUAUUUAUAUAAGCUUUGGGCCUCCUGCUAAACAGUCCAGCAGAAGGCAAACUUGCAGAGUUCUCGUGACUCUGGAAUUGGAAUCCAAACGCAUGUCACCGUUCAUGCAGCAAAAUAGAGAAAUACAAAUUCAAGCUUUGUCUCAGCACCUGAGGUAAAAGCUAGACCCAAGUAUUAUCCCUCCUACAGUUGCAGUUGUGUUUUUGGCUCUACCUGUCUCUAGGUAUUACAUCUGUCAGCAGCAGAAUUGCAACAGUCGCACUGUUGACCAUAGGAAAAUCUGCGGGGAAUUUCAUGAGGAAACAUCAGCAGAUUUGAUGGCAAAAGAGUGGAGCAUAUUUAACCAGAUGCAAAUCUGGGCUGCUGCAGGAUAUAUUUUGAGAAUGGAUACUAGAUAUUCUGAAAUUUUGAAACUGAUAGAAGAUACAGCUGCCGAGAGCACACUGCUGAAUUUCAUGUCUGAUGCCUCUGCUCCCGAGGGCCACAGAGCUGGCUCAGCAUCCUUGGAGAGAGAGCUGCCACCCAGCAGCAGCAGCAAGGGCUGAAGGGUUCUUGCUCCAGGCUGCUUAGCUGGUGUGAUUCACUUACACUUCAUAUACGCAUGCCAGCCUUUUCUCACCAACUACGUCAGCUGCCCAAGACCACCUUGCCAGACUUGGUCCUACGCUUUCAGAAGG